rnacentral:rRNA from 1 species
AGUCGAACGAAGCACUUUAUUUGAUUUCCUUCGGGACUGAUUAUUUUGUGACUGAGUGGCGGACGGGUGAGUAACGCGUGGGUAACCUGCCUUGUACAGGGGGAUAACAGUUGGAAACGGCUGCUAAUACCGCAUAAGCGCACAGCAUCGCAUGAUGCAGUGUGAAAAACUCCGGUGGUAUAAGAUGGACCCGCGUUGGAUUAGCUAGUUGGUGAGGUAACGGCCCACCAAGGCGACGAUCCAUAGCCGACCUGAGAGGGUGACCGGCCACAUUGGGACUGAGACACGGCCCAAACUCCUACGGGAGGCAGCAGUGGGGAAUAUUGCACAAUGGGCGAAAGCCUGAUGCAGCGACGCCGCGUGAGCGAAGAAGUAUUUCGGUAUGUAAAGCUCUAUCAGCAGGGAAGAUAAUGACGGUACCUGACUAAGAAGCACCGGCUAAAUACGUGCCAGCAGCCGCGGUAAUACGUAUGGUGCAAGCGUUAUCCGGAUUUACUGGGUGUAAAGGGAGCGCAGGCGGUGCGGCAAGUCUGAUGUGAAAGCCCGGGGCUCAACCCCGGUACUGCAUUGGAAACUGUCGUACUAGAGUGUCGGAGGGGUAAGCGGAAUUCCUAGUGUAGCGGUGAAAUG